rnacentral:rRNA from 1 species
GACGAACGCUGGCGGCGUGCCUAAUACAUGCAAGUCGUGCGGACCUUUUAAAAGCUUGCUUUUAAAAGGUUAGCGGCGGACGGGUGAGUAACACGUGGGCAACCUGCCUGUAAGACUGGGAUAACGCCGGGAAACCGGGGCUAAUACCAGAUCGUUUUUUCCUCCGUAUGGAGGAAAAAGGAAAGGCGGCUUCGGCUGCCACUUACAGAUGGGCCCGCGGCGCAUUAGCUAGUUGGCGGGGUAACGGCCCACCAAGGCAACGAUGCGUAGCCGACCUGAGAGGGUGAUCGGCCACAUUGGGACUGAGACACGGCCCAAACUCCUACGGGAGGCAGCAGUAGGGAAUCUUCCGCAAUGGACGAAAGUCUGACGGAGCAACGCCGCGUGAGUGAAGAAGGCCUUCGGGUCGUAAAACUCUGUUGCCGGGGAAGAACAAGUGCCGUUCGAACAGGGCGGCGCCUUGACGGUACCCGGCCAGAAAGCCACGGCUAACUACGUG